AUACUUACCUGGCGUAGGGAUACCGUGAUUAUGCAGGCGGUUUCCACAGGGUGAGGCUGCUCCAUUGCACUGCGGGUUGGUUGAUUCUUGCGAUUAUUUUAAUUUUUAUAAGUUUCACUUCUACCGUGUCACACGUAAUGUGUGUGACAUGC
rnacentral:snRNA from 9 species